rnacentral:lncRNA from 1 species
UUCCAGUGUGGCAAUGCUGUUCCUGAAAACUGCAGAUGGAUUUUAUUUAUUCUGCAUCUCAUUUAAUUUCUGAAAAAAGGUUAACUAUGCUUUUAGUUUUGGAUCACUUGUUGUAGCAGUGAGGAUAUAUGUUGGCCAUGACUCGAAUGUCAGAUUGUCAAUCAGUUAUUAUACUACUACUAUAUUAUACUCCCUCCGUUCCUAAAUAUAAGUCUUUGAAGAUAUUUCACUAUGAACCACAUACGGAUGUACAUAGAUGCAUUUUAGAGUAUAGAUUCACUUAUUUUGCUCCGUAUGUAGUCCAUAGUGAAAUCUCUAUAAAGACUUAUAUUUAGGAACGGAGGGAGUACUACAUGUGCCUUGCAGUGCUUGCUGCAAUCUUAUUGGUUUGAAUUUUUUUUUUGCACAAUGCAAAGUUCCCCGUGUGUUUCAAAUUUGGACUUGCUCAUACAGAAUAGAUGUUAGGAACAGGAAGUCCAAUCUAUUGCUCUUUGGUUAAGCAUAAGAUGAAGUU